CCUCCCCUUCCUUACUCCAGCCACUCUGACUCUGGUGUGGUCUGGCAUUGACGGGGGAAACAUGAAGUGCUCCACCACAUGCCUUCACUGUGGUCAUGGUCAGU